rnacentral:lncRNA from 1 species
AGGGCAUGGCUACAGGAGAAGCUGCUGAUACUCGGGGUCAAGAGAAAGGUUAUGUGAUCUGAACUAGUGGUGGGAACAGCAAAUAAGGUUUUCUCAUGAAGUAAGGUGUUUUGACCUAUGAAGAAUGCCCCUUCUGUUCAGUCAGGGCAUUGUUGUUAUAGACCAAGGCGAGCUGUCUUUGGAUACAUUACAGAUGUCAGUCUGAGUGUUCUCAACUUGGUUAUAUAAAAGAGGAGAGAAGGAUGUUCCCAGACUGGCAGAUAAAUACUGUGCCUCAGUGGCUGGGGAGCAAAAGAGUUAGUAGAAUCCAGCAGCUUUUUAAUCUCUCUAAAGAAGAUGACGACGUCCUCAAUAUGUUAAUCAGAAAGCCCUUAAACAAAGAAGUGAAGAAGCCCAGGACCAAAGCACUCAUAGUUCAGUGUUUUGUCACGCUACCUAUUCUGUAACACAAGUACUGGUCUAUUACUCCACGGAAGGAAUGACACACUGAGAAAAACGAGGAAGAGGAGGAGGAGGAGGCAGCUGUAGAAUAUGCUAAGCUUUUGGCCAAGAGAAUGAAGGAAGCCAAAGGAAAACACUAGGCACAGACUGCCAAGAGAUGCAAUGUAUCUCACUAAAAGUUUCUACUUCUAAGUUUAAGUACAGCCAAAAACA